rnacentral:rRNA from 1 species
UGCUGGAACGCGCUGUCUGACGGAGCACGCCGCGUGAGUGAUGAAGGCUUUCGGGUCGUAAAACUUUUGUUAGGGAAGAACAAGUGCUAGUUGAAUAAGCUGGCACCUUGAGGUACCUAACCAGAAAGCCACCUACUACGUGCCAGCAGCCGCGGCACGAGGUGGCAAGUGAUCCGGAAUUAUCGAGCCGCUUGUUAGUUGUUUCUUAUCUUGGACCGGCUCCUUACGUUUC